UUCGGAUUGUAGGCUGCAACUCGCCUACAUGAAGUCGGAGUUGCUAGUAAUCGCGGAUCAGAAUGCCGCGGUGAAUGCGUUCCCGGGUCUUGUACACACCGCCCGUCACACCAUGGAAGUUGGGGCGCCCGAAGUUGCCUAAGAAAUAAGGUACCUAAGGCGAAACCAAUGACUGGGGUGAAGUCGUAACAAGGUACC
rnacentral:rRNA from 1 species